GAGAGAUGGCUGAGUGGUUGAUAGCCCCGGUCUGRAAAACUGGUAUAGUU
rnacentral:tRNA from 1 species